UCCCUAAAUAGGGACUAGUAUGAACGGCUAAAUGAGGACCUUACUGUCUCUUGCCGCCAGUCAAUGAAACUGAUCUCCCAGUCCAAAAGCUGGAAUAACACCAUAAGACAAAAAGACCCUGUGGAGCUUUAAAACCAAAACCAUUAAUAACUGUCCACUUGGUUUUUAGUUGGGGCGACUUCGGAGCAAAAACAAACCUCCGAAACAAUGGACCUCACCAUAUCAAGGCCAACACGCCAAAAUAGCCUAAAACUUGACCCAGAUCUUAAUUUCUGACCAAUGAACCAAGUUACCCCAGGGAUAACAGCGCCAUCUUCUUUUAGAGUCCAUAUCGACAAGAAGGUUUACGACCUCGAUGUUGGAUCAGGACACCCCAAUAGUGCAGCCGCUAUUAAAGGUUCG
rnacentral:rRNA from 1 species